GUUCGAAAUACGUCACACGUGACGAAUCGCAGUUCGAUUGCGUUUCUAGUCGGACGUGCUUUUGUUGUGCUCUUCGAUUGCGUGCUGUUUUUUGCGGUUUGAGGACUUUUGCAGAAAAGAUUAAAGAUUUUUCAGAAUCGGUCCCAGAAGACAUCGCGACACAUCAUUCGAUGAUCGACCGUUUGCGCUUUGGAUUCGAAUCUUUAGAUUUAGAAAGGCAGCUGCGAAUGAAGACGUUGGUGCGGUGUUGGAGGCGGUUCCGGCGGAGGCAGGCGGUGGCGCCGGAGGGAGGGGGUUCCUCGGACG